UACGAAGGGGGGCUAGCGUUGCUCGGAAUUACUGGGCGUAAAGGGCGCGUAGGCGGCACUGUUAGUCAGGCGUGAAAGUCCUGGGCUCAACCUGGGAACUGCGCUUGAUACGGCAGAGCUAGAGGAUGGAAGAGGCUCGCGGAAUUCCCAGUGUAGAGGUGAAAUUCGUAGAUAUUGGGAAGAACACCGGUGGCGAAGGCGGCGACCUGGGCCAAUAUUGACGCUGAGGUGCGAAAGCGUGGGGAGCAAAACAGG
rnacentral:rRNA from 1 species